UUGGACAUAACUUUCCUAUGUUUAUAUCUGACUACACGAUCAGUGUAACUCCAUAUCAGGUACAACCACAAGAAUGGGAAGUUAUACUUCAUGUAUGUGUGAUACAUAAAAUACUUUCUACUGUCAUGUAUGACUAAAAAGAACAAAUUUUUGAAAAGAAGAAUUAUACUGCAUCUGCUGCUGCAUCCUUGUUCUUCCAAAUUCAUUCCAUCCCAGCCUCUAACCUAUUGGAUGGUGCUGCCCACGCUUAGGGAGGGUCUCCACUCUAGUUCACUGUCCCACAUGCCAAUCAUUCCUACACACCCUCAUUGACACACCCAGAAGCCUCUUCAUCUUAGGCAUCUCAAUCCAAUCCCGUUGACAUUCAAAUUAACCAUUAUGGCAAGUGAACCUUACUGAUCACAUUUAAAUGUCACUUAGUUUUUACUGUAUUUUAACGGUUACUAUAUUAUUAAUCAAUUGUAUCAAAGGUACUACAGGAUGCGUGGUACUGAUCGUAGGGAGAACUUUCGGGGAAAGAGAGCUAUAUGAGAACUCUGUAGUUUUUGUCCAAUUUUGUAUAAAAUCAAAACUCAAAAGCACAAAAUGUAUUCAUUAAAGGAAUAAUAGCUCAAUAGUGAAGAGAGAGCUUUUGCUCAUUCGGCAGGCUUUGUACCACCACACGAUGAGUCAGCUGGGUGGGAGGAAGGGGAAGCCAGCCAGCCUGGUCCUGGAGACUUCUUGUCUCCCGUGCCCUGGUCCCUGGGGCUGAGCUUCCCUGCCUCCUGUCCAGGGAGCUGCCUUGCAGUGGCUCUGGCUGGACAGUCUCUCUAAGGCAGGUGCAUCGGCGAUAACCAGAGGUCAUUUUCCAGGGGUCAAGUUUCCAUCCACAAGGACCACCCCCUGCACAGCUCAAUGCCCUCCCCAAGCCGGCCCCCCCGGAGGGGAGGGCUGGUGGGCCGCUGGCCCCUGCAGAUGCAGCGAGCUCAGCCGGGGCUGUGGGGCAGGUUCUGAAAGGUGCCCUUGUUCAAGACACUCUACGUCUAUCUGACAGAAAAUUGUCACAACACUCCACUCCGAGUGUUUUAGACAAAACACUUCCAUGUAGAUGAACACAAAAGUGCAAAGUCCGUGCCCGAAGGCGUCUCCCAGAUGUGGGGUGCCUCCCCAUAGACAUUGACAGGUCAGGUCAGGUCAUCAGAAGCCUCAGCGUCCAUGCCCACACACCCCGUCCUUGAGAGCAGAGACAUCUCAGGGGAUGUUCCAAAUCCCUUCAGGCAGACUCAUCUCCAGCCCUCUGUUUUCUUAGAGUAAUAGGGAACUAAUGGGCUUUUCCCCUCAUUCGGUACCUUUCUGUUAGUUAAUUGGAAAUGGUUCUGCCUGAAUGGGAAGGUUUUCUAUCCUGGGGUCCUUGAACAGAGAAGUCUCAGAGCACAGACCUGAGCCGUCAGGGUACAGAGAACCUCCCACCACCUUCCCAGGAUUAACUGGCCACUUGGGUCCUGAGAAUUUCCAGUGCCCCAUACUUAGGGGGCUUUUGUUGUAUUAAAAGUGACAACUGCAUUCAAGAUGAGAGGUGCUAUUCAAAGAAAAGAUAAAGUAGUCUCUACUGAGAACUUUCAUUGUGUUGAGAAUAAUGCACCUCAAAAUGCUAAGCCACCAAGUGUGUGCCAAGUAUGGGGGCUGGGAAGGGAGUACGCUUCCCACUUGAAUAGGUGAAAAAGAUCAUAAAGAGGCUUUCGUUUUUAGUAGAAAAUAUGUCAUAUACAGACCCCCCAAUUUUCGCUUACUGAUAAACCCAUCCUUCCUGCCAAGGAUAGACUCUGAGGGCCACUUUGCUUGGCCUCCCAUCUGUCUCGUCCCAUGACAGGCACAGAGGAAGGAGCCUGCAUCGCUGAGUCACUGCCUGGAGGAGGAUGACCUAGCUCAACAACCUCAUUGGACAUGAAAUGGAUAAGAAAUAACCUUUGAUUUUGUUGAGUCACUGAAAUCUAGGGGUUGUUUACAACAACUGGAAUGAAUUAUUUUGUACCAUGGAUAUUGAUAUUCUGACACAGGUUUCUGCUGUUACAAAAACGUGUGGCCAUUUUCUUAGCAGUUGGGCAAGAGGUGGGGAGGACAGCAUGCUGGGUCAUCUAUGAUAUGGUGUUGAAACAGUUAGCAGAUGGUCACCUGCAGAGACUUGGGGAGCACACAUCAUUGCUACAGGAUCAUGAGGGCAUCAUUGGAAAAUGGAUUUUUAGGAGUGUGUUUUAACUGGAAUUGAUAAUGUUCAGAAUUGUGAGAGACAAAUGAAAGAAAUAAGCUCAGGAAAUGAUUAGCCCUGGGCUUGAGCAGCAUGCCGUGACUCGACAGGGGCCUGUGUUCUCUUCCUUGGAGAAGAGGUGAGCAGUUUCAGGAUAUCUGAAGAAAAAUAAAGCAACAUGGUGGCCAAAAGGGUGGCCAGCAGCUGAAAUAAUUUUAUGCCUACAUGAAUGGUUUCAUUUUUCUCCUGGGGUCCAGGAGAUUCCAUUUCCCAGCACUGUGGCAUGUGGGUAAGCCAGGUGAUUGGUUUUGACCAACAUUCUAGGGUUAGAAGUCACAGGAUCUUGUAAUGGCUUGUGGCAUAAAAUACUCCCACAAGUUUCCUCCUCGUGCUUCCUUAGUGAACUUAGAAGACAUGGUUAAGGAUGGCAGUGUCCAGAGAUGGAAAGACCUGGACCUCUGAAUCAGCACUUGGACGAGAGCUUCCCAGGAGAACCACCCAACCACUGCAUCCAGGGAGACUGGUGGGUGAAAAAUGAACUACUACCGGGUUAAGUCACCGCGAUGUGGACGAUUAGGAGUUCACAAGGUCAACACGGGGAACGAAGCAAAGUAUAUCCGGUUUGGUGGUGCUGAGGAUCGAACCCAGUGACUCACAGGUGCAAGGCCAGUGCUCUACUGCUCAGCCACAGACCCCACCCCGUCCAGCUCUUUCUUGAAUGCUGUUCUGCUUGAGGCAAAGGGAGGUGCACAUUUCAUACUUGCUAUUGGCAACUAUUUUUAUUUCAGGAAAUUAGCACAGCACCUUCCUUUCUUUCCUUCUGCCUCCUUGGACACAGGGUCAAUGUUACAAUAGCUUCUGGCUUGGACUGUGGCUAGCUCCGGGAUGCCCACCUCAAGGGAAGUCUUGUACCACAGUCCUCAGUGUAGCCCACUCGGCAAACGAAUGUCCUUCUCUGGGCACCUGUGGCCAGAGGAUAGGAAGGCACUCUGAACUCUGGAGAGUGGAGUCCUGGCUGGGCUCUACCCCAAUGUAGACUCCAGCCUGGAGGCUGGUUCUGAGCCUCACCAUUGCUUCCCCUAAGUAACUGGGAUGUGUCUUCCUGACCAGGAGACUUGGUGGCUCCAUCCUAGGGUGGGUGACUGCUCUCAUCACAGGGCCACGCCUCCUGACAUAAAGGUGUCUGUGGACAGGAGCCCCAUAGACUGCCAGGUGGGCCAGCCCUGUGUGCCCUCAUGGAUAGGGUUGGAUGUGAUAUUUCAAAGCCACAGGUCUGCACCUCCAUGGAAGACCAUGCCUUGAUAUAUGUACUGAUGGGCCAAGUGCUGUGGCACAUACCUGUAAUCCCAGCAGGUUGGGAGGCUGAGGCAGGAGGAUCUCAAGUUCAAAGCCAGCCUUAGCACCUUAGUGAGGCCCUAAGCAACUUAGUGAGACUGUGCCAAAAUAAUAAAAAAAAAUGAAGAAGGUCUGGGGGUAUGGUUCAGUGGUUAAGCACUCCUGGGUUCAAUCCCUGACACCAAAAAAAAAAAAUUAAGUACCACAGGACUUUCAAUGUGGGUCCAUCUGCCUCAUAGCCAGAAUGCAAGCUACCCUCCUGGUACCUGGGUGGCUUCACUGUGGAUAGAAUGUCCCAUGUUUGAGCAGGAAUUAGGAGGAGAUAUGCUCCAAGAACACAUCUCUUGGCUCUGGAACAGCUGAGCCACCCAGGUGGCUUCCUUUUGUGUCCACCUACACGGGCUUCCUCCUGGACCCCCUUUCUGACCCCUCCUGGACCUGCCCAGCCAAAGCUUUCCUGCUCAGACUCCAGUUGUAGGAAGAGCCAGGAGCUGCCCGACUGGCCUUUGAAGAACCCAAGUCCCCCAGCCCCUCCCCAGAAGCCAGGAGCUGCAUUCACGCUUCAUGAUUCUCACUCAACACGUAUUAAUGUGGACCCACACAGGCGGGCUCCAGGGAUUUCCAGACUCUGAGAAACAUCUGUGGAUGAAGCUUAGAUGCCAGUGGGAGAAGACAGAAAUCAACAGCUACAUACACAGGUGAAUCCAGCAGCCAGUGCCACAGGAAAGGCUGGAGAGUCACACGGAAGCAGGACUCAGGGACAGAGAGCCCGGGAGAAGAGGAGAGCGUCAACAGGCCUUCAAGGCGGUGAGAGUGUCCAAAGCAGUGCUCAUACGCUUGCCAGUGUGAGGCACGUUCGCAGGUUGUCCUGGUCCAGCGCAGUGGUGUGGGUGAUGUGCAGAGAGUGCCACUGGCUGAGACAUACUGCAAAAGGUCACGCCUGCUGCAAAAGGCCGUUCCUGGAGGUGACAGGGCUGUAGAUGACCGGCAGUGGAUACAGAACUGCUAAAACAUUAAGAAUGAAUUUACUCUCCACGGAGAAGAUCUGGAAUGGUAAAAACAGCAGUGUGAUGCAACCUGUGCCUGUGAGGGGUCAGACUGCCUUCAACAUACAGAGAAGUGGAGGAAGGAUUCACAUCUGUGGGGUGUGCCUGUGUGUGCCUGUGUGUGUGUGGUAUGGGCCACUAGUGGUAGGUCAAAAGCUGACAUUUAAUUCUUAACUUUGAAAAUUAGAGAAGGCUAUCCUAUAAGCUUAUAUUUAAAAUCACCAACAUAACCAUUUCUAUAAUUAAAAGUCCAAAGACAUAGAUUCAAAAGAGCAGAGUAUAUAUAAUGCCUCCUCCAGACCAGCAUGAGGAAAAAGAUUUAAGGAGGGAAGAAACAACAGAGAAGUGGAAAAUAAAUCCAAAGAGCAAGAUAAUAGAAGUACACACUUAUCAAUUAGAAUUUAAAAGUACAAACAGUGUGAUAUCUCAUGAUGAGCAAGAAAAAUUUUCAGAACAUUCUUUAAAACAAAACAGAAGUGGGGUAUUUAUGUCCAUUUUUUUUUUAAAAAAAGCUGAUUUGGAUUGGUUAAAAGAAAAUACUGGGAACAGAAGGCUCUCCAACCUUGUUCUUCUGAUUCAAGAUUCUCUUGGCUAAUUUUGGAUUUUAUAUGUCCACAUAUGCUUUGGAAUCAGCUUUUAAUUCCCACAAUAAUGAACAUGCCAGAAUUAUACCUGGAAUUGAGUCUCACCCAUGAAUCAGCUUGAGAGAAAAGUCAGCCUAACAAUGGAGGUCUUUCCAAUCUGUAGGAAUGACACCCCUCGCCUCCUUUGUAGUUUUCAAAGUAAAGGUCUUGCACAACUUUUCAAAUAUCAGUUUCUAGGCAUUUUCUUUGUAUGUUAUUAUAAAUGAUAUAUGUUUAAUAUUUCAUGUUUUGCUUAUUUAUUGGGAUAUGGAAAUAAAAUUGUUUUCUAUACUGACAGCAUUCAACAUUCUUGCCAAAUUUGAUUAUCAAUUUGUAUACUACAUGGAGUUCUUUCAGUGAUUUAUAUACACAUUUGUGUCAUCAGCAAACAACGACUUCUAUUUAUUCCUUUGAUUCUUUGUCCUAGCUUAUUUAUUGUUCUUGGCUUAUCACACUGGAAAGGAUCUCUAAUAUUAGUGUGAACCCCACUGUGAUAUGGGCAGCCUUUCUUCCCUCCUGGGGGCAAGAGUUCAACUUCUUAUUGUUAAGUUUACUUUAGUAUUUUUGUUGAUGUUUUUAUUGGAUUAAGGAUGUACUAUUCUAGUUCUGGCUUUCCAAGAGUGUUCUUAAAGUUGCGAAUAGAUGUUAAAUCUUAUAUACGGUUUUCUUGCCACCAUCUAGAUGAUCAUAUGAUUUUUCUUUUUUUUUUUCUUUUUUUUUUGGUACUGGUGAUUGAACUCAGGGGCACUUGACCACUGAGCCACAUCCUCAGCCCUAAUUUGUAUUUUAUUUAGAGACAGAAUCUCACUAAAUUACUUAGCACCUCACUGUUCCUAAGGCUGGCUUUGAACUCAUGAUCCUCCCAGCCUCAGCCCCCUGAGCCACUGGGAUUACAGGAGUGUGCCACCAUGCCUAGCUGAUUUUUCUUUUUUAUGUUAUGGGAAAAUGACAUUGAGACUGACUUUCAAAUUUUGAACCAAUGUCACAUUGUAAUAAAUCCAAAUUAAACCUGCAUUAUCAUUUUUAUACAUUGCUAGAUUUAGCUUAUAUUUUAUCUGGGAUUAUUCCAUCUGUAUUCAUAUGAGAGAUUGGACCAUUGCUCUCCUUUUUUAUUACAUCCUUGACAGAUUCUGAUACCAAGGCAAUGAUGACCUCAAAGUGACUUUAGAGCUAUACCCCUCUUCAUUUCCUGAAAGAGUUUAGUGGAGGUAAACUCUUUGAGGCUGUAAGGUGUACAGUGUCCCCGUUGCCAUUUCUGAUAGUGGUUACAUAUUCUUUCUUUUUCUUGAUCAAUUCUAUUAAUGUUUUCAAAGAAUGAAUUUUUUAUUGAUUGAUUAUUCUCUAUUAUAUGCUUAUUUUAUAUUUCUUUGAUUGUUUCCCUUGUUCAUGUUGCAUUCUUCCUUUUGUUUUUAAAAUUUGCUCUCCUUUUUCUAAUUUCUUGAGAAUAUGAUGAAAAUUUAGAUUGCUGACUUUUGAUCUUUUUUUCUUUGUGGUAUAUGAAUUUUAGGCCAGGAGUUUUUUCUUUUAAACAUGGCUUAAAAUCUUUCCCAUAUAUUUGGAUAUGUCACUCCAUCAUUAUCACUUAGUUCUGUAUAGUCCUUGAAGUCCUCCCCCAUUUCCUCUUUGCCCUUGGUUUAUUCAGAAUUAUAUAACUCAAUUUUCAAACAGCUGGGUAUUUGACUGUUUCUUUUUCCCUAGCUGACUUCCACGGUUGUCAAAGAACAUUAUCUUUUUAUUUUAAUUUUUUUGAAGAAUUGGAGGCUUGUUUUAUUGCCCAGCCAUGACCAAUUUUGGAAACUGUUUCAUGUGCACUUAAAAAUAAAGUGUAUGCAAGAGUUUAGAAUGUAGCAUUCUAUGUAUGCUAAUUAUGCCAAGUUUGCUAUCUGUUUUGUUAUAAUUGUCGGCUGUUUCUAUCUGCUUGAAGAUAAAGUGUAGGAAUUGCCCAUUAUGAUCAGAACUGGUCUACUUAGCCUCUGUAUUUUGUCAAUUUUGCUUUGUGUGUAUUUUGAAGUUGUUUUUAGAUGUAUACGGAAUAAGAUUUAUAAUGUCGUCUUAGUGGACUGACUGCUUUAUCAUUUUCAAGUGUCUGUCUCUAGUAAGGUCUCCGUCUGAACGCUGCCUUGGUGUGACUUUUGCAGGAGUCUGCUAGUUCCCUUUGUUUUGCUGUCCCUGGAGUACCUUUCCCUAUUCUUUUACAUUUAACCUUCCUGUGUCCUAGUAUUUAAAGUCUGCCUCCUCUAAAGAGAAUAUAAUUGUUUUUUUUUUAAAUAUAUACAUUGCAGAAAAUUUAUAAAAGGCCAAAGAAUGUGGGAAAAAUCAACAGCUUGUUUAGUAUUCAAGAAAGGCAUUUUGAAACAAGCACACACCAUUGGAUAGGCCUAUCACACAGACUGACCACAUCUACAGGUGGUCAGGGUAGGGAAAGCAAGCCUUCUAAAACGGUACAAUACUCAUAGUGGGAUUUCAAACCAUCGUUUUUCUUGUAUGUUUCAAUAUUUCAUUUACAAUAAAGAACUUCUAACUUUACCAAAAGUGGUGAUGCUGUUGUCAUUGGGAUCACACAUCAAUGGGUACACGUCUGAAUCUGUCUUCACAUCUACACAGACACAGACAGACUCAUAACUCAAUGCUGCUGUGCCUGCCCUAGUUCAGGGCUAUGUCUUUUUUUAAAUUAUAUUUUAGUUAUAGGUGGAGACAAUAUCUUUAUUUUACUUUAUGUGGUCCUGAGGAUGGAACCCCUCUGAGCCACAACCUCAGCCAUGUCUUUUCGCUGCCAUCAUUCCUCCAUAUUGAACAACAAAUCAGAUCCUCCUAAAACUGUAGUUGACAUCAUUUCCUUGCUUGCAAUCUUUCAGUGGUUCCCAGUGUCACGAAGAUAAAGUGCAAGCUCCCCCGCAUACAGCCAAAGCCUCCGAGGUCUGAGCCCAUGCAUCCUCUGCCCAAUGCCUGCCUACACUUUAGUUUCAACUACAAAGUGCUUGUGGUAUUUUUACUUAUGUGCUUUGCUUCCUCAACAAUUAAUU